rnacentral:rRNA from 1 species
UAAGUGUUAGGGGGUUUCCGCCCCUUAGUGCUGCAGCUAACGCAUUAAGCACUCCGCCUGGGGAGUACGUCGCAAGACUGAAACUCAAAGGAAUGACGGGGGCCCGCACAAGCGGUGGAGCAUGUGGUUUAAUUCGAAGCAACGCGAAGAACCUUACCAGGUCUUGACAUCCUCUGACAACCCUAGAGAUAGGGCUUUCCCUUCGGGGACAGAGUGACAGGUGGUGCAUGGUUGUCGUCAGCUCGUGUCGUGAGAUGUUGGGUUAAGUCCCGCAACGAGCGCAACCCUUGAUCUUAGUUGCCAGCAUUCAGUUGGGCACUCUAAGGUGACUGCCGGUGACAAACCGGAGGAAGGUGGGGAUGACGUCAAAUCAUCAUGCCCCUUAUGACCUGGGCUACACACGUGCUACAAUGGACAGAACAAAGGGCUGCGAGACCGCGAGGUUUAGCCAAUCCCACAAAUCUGUUCUCAGUUCGGAUCGCAGUCUGCAACUCGACUGCGUGAAGCUGGAAUCGCUAGUAAUCGCGGAUCAGCAUGCC